AUAGUUUGUGUAUACAUGUAUAUCCAGUUUCACCUCUGUGAUAAGCCUGUAUAAACUAGUUGAAAAGGGGUCUGGAUCCACUCCCAGAAAUUGUCCUUCCGCAUUAGAGGCUGAGUAUAUACAGUGUGACGAAUCAAUCAGGACUCUCUGAGUUCACCACAAGCUGCAGAUGUUAUUGUUGUUGGUGCAACUUUCAGGAUGUCAGGUGAGAAACUCGACUCUAUGCCUCUUUGCUCGAUUUUGAUCUUUUGUGAUCUUUGUUGUUAGUGAGCAUGGACUUGUAAGUACAAGUGUUGGUUGCCAAUCGUUGGUUUUGUUUUGAAAGGAAAAUAAAGCAUUUUUUAGAAAUGGAAUAAUUGACAUUUCAGGCUUUAUGUAUCUGUGUUAAAGUAAAACCUUUUUGUCACGUGGAGAGUUUUCUGUACAUAUAUCCACUAAUCCCUUAAGGCGUCAUUGAGACAGAACAAGAUAGAGUUACGGUGUCACAAUGCACGCAUGCAACUUUGCUACGCAGGUUGGAGGCGCGGCAGUGACCUGGAAAGUAAUGAUACAAAGGAAGAGGAGUGUUUUCUGUUCCGUGACAUGCUGCAACAGCAAUGUUAAAAAAACUUUUAUGCCAUUGAAACCUUGAUUCAUGAUGAUCAUGGGCAAAGGAGAGGCUCAUUCUGCAUCUACAGUAAGACUACAGGUGCAUGUUAUUAUGAGGUGACAUGACAGUCCUUACCGCCAAUCUUGUAGACGUCCUGCAGGGGCAGACGCAAGGCCUUGUCUGUUGGGCGGGCUGGGGGCAGGAUGGAGUCCAGAGCCUCAAGCAGGGUAACGCCAGAGGCACCGCCCUCCUUACGCUCGAUCUUCCAACCCUUGAACCAGCCCAUCUAAAAUGGAGAGUGGAGAAACAGAGACAGAGGGAGAGGAAGGCAGAGAAAGUAAUGGGGUAAGAGAAAGAAAAAUAAAUAGUUCAAGAGGAUUAAUUGAUAAGAAAAUCCCCAAAAUCCACAACUUAUUAGCUUUUGACAGAAAUUUUACAAAUCUGACUCACUGUCACAAAUGCUUGAUGGACUUAUUUACCUACCAAUUACCAUGUAAUAAGUCACUCACCUUGUCACUGGCCUCCAGCAUGUUGUCUCCAUGCCACCCAGAGAUGGGGACAAAUGCAACAGUGGCGGGGUUGUAGCCGAUCUUCUUGAUGUAGGUGCUCACUUCCUUGGU